rnacentral:rRNA from 1 species
UGAGGAAUAUUCCACAAUGGGGGAAACCCUGAUGGAGCGAUGCCGCGUGCAGGAAGACGCUUUUCGGAGUGUAAACUGCUUUUAAUAGGGAAGAUUAUGACGGUACCUAUCGAAUAAGGACCGGCUAACUACGUGCCAGCAGCCGCGGUAAUACGUAGGGUCCAAGCGUUAUUCGGAAUUACUGGGCGUAAAGCGUACGUAGGCGGUUUGGUAAGUUGGAUGUGAAAUCCUGUGGCUCAACCACAUGGACUGUGUCCAAAACUACCAAACUUGAGCAUAGUAGAGGCAAGUGGAAUUUGCGGUGUAGGAGUGACAUCCGUAGAUAUCGCAAGGAACACCAAUGGCGAAGGCAGCUUGCUGGGCUAUUGCUGACGCUCAGGUACGAAAGCGUGGGGAGCGAACGGG